GGGGGCGUACUGGUUUCGACUGAUUGUUUGAAGCGCAGGCGGCAUGUCGAGGAUGGUUCGUUGGCCUCGUUAAAAUCCGGACCAAAAAAAAUAAAUGCAGAUCACCAAGAUCUCGCUCUCGCGGCUUAAUUGACUGCGAUGUUUCUGGCUCGACGCCUGCUAGGGC
rnacentral:tmRNA from 1 species